rnacentral:misc_RNA from 1 species
GAUGAAGAACUUAGUGAAAUGCGAUAAGUAAUGUGAAUUGCAGAAUUCAGUGAAUCAUCGAAUCUUUGAACGCACAUUGCGCCCGCCAGCAUUCUGGCGGGCAUGCCUGUUCGAGCGUCAUUUCAACCCUCGAGCCCCCCCGGGGGCCUCGGUGUUGGGGGACGGCACACCAGCCGCCCCCGAAAUGCAGUGGCGACCCCGCCGCAGCCUCCCCUGCGUAGUAGCACACACCUCGCACCGGAGCGCGGAGGCGGUCACGCCGUAAAACGCCCAACUUUCUUAGAGUUGACCUCGGAUCAGGUAGGAAUACCCGCUGAACUUAAGCAUAUCAAUAAGCGGAGGA